GCCUUCUUAGCUCAGUGGUAGAGCGCGUGGCUUUUAACCACGUGGUUGUUGGUUUGAUCCCCCACAGACGGUG
rfam:Ipomoea nil DNA, scaffold: scaffold2284, cultivar: Tokyo-kokei standard.